rnacentral:rRNA from 1 species
CGCGUAGGCGGACUUUUAAGUCGGAGGUGAAAGCCCAGGGCUCAACCCUGGAAUUGCCUUCGAUACUGGUCAGCUAGAGUAUGGGAGAGGAUGGUAGAAUUCCAGGUGUAGCGGUGAAAUGCGUAGAGAUCUGGAGGAAUACCGAUGGCGAAGGCAGCCAUCUGGCCUAAUACUGACGCUGAGGUACGAAAGCAUGGGGAGCAAACA